rnacentral:rRNA from 1 species
UGCCUAAUACAUGCAAGUCGAACGGUAACAGGCCCUUCGGGGCGCUGACGAGUGGCGGACGGGUGAGUAAUGCUUAGGAAUCUGCCUAGUAGUGGGGGAUAACCCGGGGAAACUCGGGCUAAUACCGCAUACGCCCUACGGGGGAAAGCGGGGGACUUUCGGGCCUCGCGCUAUUAGAUGAGCCUAAGUCCGAUUAGCUAGUUGGUAGGGUAAUGGCCUACCAAGGCGACGAUCGGUAGCUGGUCUGAGAGGACGACCAGCCACACUGGGACUGAGACACGGCCCAGACUCCUACGGGAGGCAGCAGUGGGGAAUAUUGGACAAUGGGCGCAAGCCUGAUCCAGCGAUGCCGCGUGUGUGAAGAAGGCCUGCGGGUUGUAAAGCACUUUCAGUAGGGAAGAAAAGCCGAGCGCUAAUAUCACUCGGUCUUGACGUUACUUACAGAAGAAGCACCGGCUAACUCCGUGCCAGCAGCCGCGGUAAUACGGAGGGUGCGAGCGUUAAUCGGAAUUACUGGGCGUAAAGGGCGCGUAGGCGGUUUGGUAAGUCGGGUGUGAAAGCCCCGGGCUCAACCUGGGAAUUGCAUUCGAUACUGCCUGGCUAGAGUAUGGUAGGGGGAAGCGGAAUUCCGGGUGUAGCGGUGAAAUGCGUAGAUAUCCGGAGGAACACCAGUGGCGAAGGCGGCUUCCUGGACCAAUACUGACGCUGAGGCGCGAAAGCGUGGGGAUCAAACAGGAUUAGAUACCCUGGUAGUCCACGCCCUAAACGAUGAGAACUAGCCGUUGGAGGAGCUUUGUCCUUUAGUGGCGCAGCUAACGCGAUAAGUUCUCCGCCUGGGGAGUACGGCCGCAAGGUUAAAACUCAAAGGAAUUGACGGGGGCCCGCACAAGCGGUGGAGCAUGUGGUUUAAUUCGAUGCAACGCGAAGAACCUUACCUGCCCAUGACAUCCUCGGAACUUUCCAGAGAUGGAUCGGUGCCUUCGGGAGCCGAGAGACAGGUGCUGCAUGGCUGUCGUCAGCUCGUGUCGUGAGAUGUUGGGUUAAGUCCCGCAACGAGCGCAACCCUCGCCCUUAGUUGCCAUCAUUCAGUUGGGCACUCUAGGGGGACUGCCGGUGAUAAGCCGAGAGGAAGGUGGGGAUGACGUCAAGUCCUCAUGGCCCUUACGGGCUGGGCUACACACGUGCUACAAUGGCGGUGACAAUGGGAUGCUGAGGGGCGACCCCGAGCAAAUCUCAAAAAGCCGUCUCAGUUCGGAUUGCACUCUGCAACUCGAGUGCAUGAAGGUGGAAUCGCUAGUAAUCGUAGAUCAGAACGCUACGGUGAAUACGUUCCCGGGCCUUGCACACACCGCCCGUCAC